UUGCUUGUUUCCAGGAGUAAGCACUUUAAAACCAGAACAAUUCGAAGAGGGAGAUGACAGUACUGCAGUAGUUAUCGGAUUGGCUGUUGGUGUUGCUGCUCUACUCAUUCUUAUCGUUGUCAUUGGUCUUCUACUGUAUAGGAAAUACAAGUUCAAGAAAUGUUGUGAAAGUACCAAGAAUCUUAAAACGAACACAAGUUCUCAAUCCAUCAAGUUCGUCAAUGAAGGCAGCAAACCAAAAAAGCAACUGGAUCAACUGAAAAAGCUCAUAAGCUGCAGCACGGCCAAGGAAACAGAUGCUAAGAUCAUCUGUAAUGGACAAGGCUCAACCCUCAAUAAACCCCAGAAGAAUGGCGGCACUGGGGUCAAAUAUGCUGAAAGCAAUUCUGGACUCGAAGAAAAAAGUGGCUCAUCCCCCUCAGGCAAAGGAGGA